rnacentral:lncRNA from 1 species
GCCACGCCGACAUCCUCCCUAUUUGGGCACACGGAGGACCCCCAGAACGUUAUACUCCACUCUCUGGAGGAGGUAAAGGGGUACCUGGCAGGGGAGAUAGACAGAUCAGCCAGGGAGGUGAAGGCAGAAAUCCAGGCCAUAGGCAUUUGUACAGAGGCCUUAGAGAGCAGGCUGGAAGAUGUGGUAGCAGCACACAAUGAAAAUACCACAGCCACAAACGCACUACUCACCAGGGUCGCUGAACUGGAAAUGGAGCUGGAGGACAACUCUAAUAGAACACGGCGCAACAACAUGCGCAUAAGAGGCCUGCCAGAGGAGUUAGGGGAUGGAGACCUUGAGCAGCUACUGGCGCAGAUCUUCCGCACCAGCCUACCACAGAUACCAGAUCAGCUGUGGCACAUCGACAGGAUACACAGGGCACUGCGAGCUAAGGGACCGCAAAACAGCCCUCCCAGAGAUGUCAUCAUAAGGUGGCACUUUUUUCCACGAAAGAAGCAAUUCUCAAGCAAAGCAGGCUCCAGCCAUACAUGUAUAAAGGAAAGACGCUACAGAUCUACCAAGACAUCGCUCCAACUACCCUCGCAAGAAGACGAGAAUGGAAACCCAUUGCUGACCUCCUCAGAGCCAAAGGCCUGCGCUUCGCAUGGGGCUUCCCCUUUAAGAUGCUCAUCUUUAAUGGCCCAAGACCGACAGUGCUGACACCAUCCAUGGACCCCAGAGGCGUCCUCCAAGAACUGGGCAUCGAGGUACCGGGAGACCUGACCUUACCACCGAGGGGGCCCAGGGCGCUGGGACUGCUUCCCAGGGAAUGGCUGGAACGCAGAGCGAGAUAGGCAACAAAGAUGGCGACCCGUACCUGAGGGACACGCAACAUGGACAAUACAACAUGCAAGUUGAUAUAUAUGAUACAUCACAUUAAAGGGACAUUGCGGACAUAGUUAAAAUUGAAAGCUGGUAGGGGAUAGAGGGGACAUGGGGUCUGACGAAAGAUAGGGAGGGGAAGGAGGGGGAGAUUACCCGAAUGGAGAAGGGUACGAAUAUAGCCACUCCAUAUACAAUUGGAAGAAAAAAAAAAAAAAGCAGGCAAACUCGCUAACAUUAGGGGGGAUGGUAUAUUUAACGACCCUUUUGGGGUUAACAACAAGCCAUCCCACAUAUACUCCGGGAGGUGUCUGAUCAAAAGGCAACAGGCUUAGACCAGACCAAACCAUCGGCCAUAGUACUGCUGGCAGAGGGCCCCCUAUCGUUGGAGACGCUCAAAUCGGGCAUGAACCAGCUGUUUCCCGCCAGACAAGGCCACAGUAACUAGGCAAGGGCUUGGAAGUUGGAAGUGACAGGUGGGAGAGGACAUACAUCCACCCCCCCACCGGGGAAAGGUUCAAGGGGACACAACUGCGCAUCUAGCACUUCCACACAAAGGGGCACACAGUGAGGGGAAGCAAGUAAGGGAAAAGUUUAAAAAAGACAAAAAAAAAAACCCAAAGGGCCCAGGGAGAGGGAUCAGAUACCCAAGACACGGAGGAAAACAGCAGGACAGGCGAAGGGCCAUUCACACCCCCUCCCUCAGGACACACCUAUAC